rnacentral:lncRNA from 1 species
GCAGUGACAACGACCCAGAUUUGAUAGAAUUUCCUCUGCGUAGCGAGGAAGCACUGAGUGAUUUCAUGAUAACCCAGUUUUCAAAAUUCCAAGUUGACUUUGAAGCUGAGCAUAUAGACACCGCCAUUGCAUUAACUAGACCUAAUGAUCAACAUAAAAUCGAAGAGCAUUGGAGUCAUCCGGAUCAUCCAUUACAACUGUUUCAGUUUAUUAUUAAUGUGCAUGAUAACGACGAUGAAGAUGAUCAAGACACAACAGAAUUGAUAUGUGAUGGGUGCAUUCAACCCAUCACCGUUACCCAUCCAUCAUACUACAGUUGUACCCAGUGUAAUUUCUUUCUCCACUCCGUCUGUGCCACUAAAUUGCCAAAACUGUUGCCUGUAGGAGUAUCCUCGUCUCACCCGCAGCAUCCGCUCGCCCUUUUGAGGGAAACUAGAUUCUACAAAGAAGUGGAGUGCGGAGUUUGUGGCUGCUCGACAAAUGGAUUCUACUAUGAAUGUGAGGCUUGUGAUAUGAAAAUUGAUAUUUGCUGUGCAUUUAUGCCCUCCAGGAUAAAAUAUAAGUCUCACAAGCACCACCCCUUUAUUUUGCGUUCAUCAUCGGAUGACCUUUGCAGUGUUAGUCGGUACAAAAUUACUGGUGGCGUGGAAUAUGGAUGUGAAAUUUGUAGCAACUUCCAGAUCAGAGUAACUAGUGUAUUUUACCCAAGUACGAUGAAAAACAAAUAUGAUGAACAUUCCAUAACCUUGAGAUAUCCUCCUCUCUUCUAUGAAGGUGUAUUCUAUUGUGAGCUAUGUGAAGAACAAGUAAACAAUCAGUGGUGGCUCUAUCACUGUGAUGAGUCUGAUCAUUCUUUUCACUCUGCUUGCCUCCAUAAGCCAAAUAGGACCAAGUUAGGAGGGACCAUCAGACUUGAUAUCAACGAUAAAAUGCACACACUUGCAUUUGUUUUCAAAAGGAAUGCAAGAAGAAACGCUCCCUUAUACAUUUGUUACAUGUGCGAUGAUGGAUACACUUAUGGUACCUUCUUUGAAUGUGAUGGCUGUGGAAUUCUUAUCUGCCAUCAAUGUGUCAGGGGGAUAGAUGGUGAUUAACAAGUCAACGCAGUUCUGAGAUAUUUCAACACUCUCUUUGGCAAUUUUUUAUGCAGCUAUAAACUUUUACACAAUAAUGUUUUUUCAGCACAUCAGUAUUGCAUUUGUGUUGUUUUAUCUUUCUUAUUGAAUUUGCUACUUAUAUCUAAUUAUAACCUACUGAUAUGAUAUCCGAAAUGCAUUAAAAUCGAUAUGUAAAGAUUAUAUUUUCAUCACCCCAACCAAAAUAGAUGCAAGUUAUUCUAUGUUCGCAAUCAUUUAUAGGUUUCUUGGAUAAUAAAUUCAUCGUUUAAGCAAAUCAAAUAAUCUCGAUGCAUCAGAAAAAACAUGAUGCAAAAAGCAGACACAUUUCACCGAAAUCCACAAUCACAACAUUGUCCUGCCAAGCGUGUUCUAAAGAACAGAAUUUUGGGACAGAAAGCUCGAUCAAGAAGCAUACCUCUGCUUUACGAAGUUGAAUCUAUAGCAUCUCUACUUCUCCAAGUUGAGAAUUUAUGAUCUUUUUAAAAUAAAUAUAUAUCAUUGUUAACGGGGGAGUUCUCAUAAUACUCCCUCUAUCCGUUUUUACAUGUGCAUUUUGAUUUUUGACCGGUCAAAUUGACUAUAUAUUGAUUGAAAUUUACAUGUAUUAUAUAAUUGAAAAAAUAAAAUAAAAAAUCUAUUUUAAUAUACAACUUUUAGGCUGUGUUCACUUGGAUGGAAUGGAAUGAGGGGAGAAUGUAAUGAAAAAUUAUAUAGAAAUUUUAUGGAGAAAGAAGAAAGUAUGAGUUAAUAGUGACUAAAUAUGAACGAGUUCAAUUUUUUUGUGAUAAAGAUUGUAAAGAAAUAUGAUGUAUAGAUGGAAUGAGCAUUCCUUCCAAAACAUGUGGGAUAGAAUUCUAGUUAAAAUAGUAGGAAUGGAAUGAUUGAAGGAAUAAAAAUUGUAUAUAUUUUCUUUGAUCAACACCAUUUUUGAGUACAAAAUUCAUUCCAUUCCCCCUCCAUUCCAUUCACUCCAAGUGAACACAACCUAAGUGCGUUUGUGAUAUUUGUGAAUAUGAAUUAGAGUUCGGUUAUGCAUGUGAUGAUUGUGACUUUGAUGUGUGUGUUCUUUGUGCUUUUGCUCGUCCUUCGGAUGAACAAAGCGUAAGAGUGCUUCAUAUGAGGGUCACGCGGAGCACACACUAAUAUUGCAGAGGGAAGCUUUGUUUGAGUGUGAUGCUUGUUGGGGGGAAUCUAAAGACUUUUCCUAUGUAUGCGUUGCCUGUGAUUUUUGGAUUCAUAAGAGAUGUGCCUUUUCCAUUAUUCCAAAUCCUGCUUAUCACCACCACCCUCUCCAUCUUGUUUUCUCAAUUCCUGAGAUGCAUCGUUAUUUCUUUCGAUCCUGUGGCAUCUGUGAUCAAGUAGUUCACACAUUCUGCUGGCUCUACUAUUGUCACAAGUGCACAUACUUUGUGCAUAUCAAUUGCGCUACAUCCACCGGAUCUACAUUGUAAGUACCCUUAGUUGUUUAGUGUUCAGAUGGACUUUUUUCUAAUUUGUCAUGAAUAAUAUCUUCACUGUUCUUAUGUCUUACUAAUUCUAAUUUGUUUACAGAAAUGAGACUGAACCCGCUGGCUUUGAUGAUGAACCGGAUUUAAAAGAAUUACCUCUGCAUAGUGGAAGCACUAUUUGAUCUCAUUACAAUCCAGUGUGCUAAGCUCCGAGCUGACUUUCAAGGUGUACGUGAAGAUACAAUCACUAUAUCAACAAUGCCAAGUGAUCCACGUAUAAUUAAAGAGCACUGGAGUCAUCCAGACCAUCCACUAGAACAGCUUCAUAUUAUUAUCAGUGAGAAUCAUAGUGACGACAAUGAUGAUGAUGAUGGAGGAGUUUUGAUAUGCGAUGGGUGUAUUCAACCUAUACCUGUUACCCGGCCAUCUAAUUAUUAUGCUUGUAUCCAAUGUGGUUUUUUUCUCCACUCAUUUUGUGCCUUAAAGUUGCCACAAGAGUUGCCUAUAGGAGCAUUCCCAUUUCACCCGCAACAUUAUCUUUCCCUUUUGAAGAAAAAUAGAUUCUAUGAUUCAGUGCCUUAUGGAGUUUGCAGCUAUUCUACAAACGGAUUUUACUAUGAAUGUGAGACUUGUGAUAUCAAAAUAGAUAUUUGUUGUGCAUUGUUGCCUGCCAGAAUAAAACACGCGGCUCACAAGUACCACCCCCUUGUUCAGCGUCCAUCCUCUGGUUCCAAGUGUAAUGUAUGUAAUGGUAGAAUUAAUGUUGGCAUGGAAUAUGCAUGUGAAAUUUGUAGCAACUUUCAUGUUGGUAUGGAUUGUGUACUUUGUCCAAGUACGGUGAAACACAGGUAUGAUGAUCACCCCAUAACCUUGAGGUAUCCUCCAUUCUUCUUCGAGGGAGUAUUCUACUGUGAGCUUUGUAAAGAACAAGUUGACAACCAGUGGCGGCUCUUUCAUUGUGAUGAAUCUGACCAUUCUUAUCACUGCAAUUGCCUCCGCUGGUAAGAAAGACUCAAGUUAGGAGGAACCCUUGUACUGGAUAUCAACAAUCAAGAACACACACUGGGUUUUGUUAGGAAAAAGAAUACAAGACCAAACUCUCCCUUGUACUCGUGUGCUCAUUGCAGGAACGGAUUCAUUUCUUGUCUCUUUUUCGAAUGUGAUGGCUGUGGAUUUCUCAUCUGCUUGAACUGUGUCAGCAAGAUACAUGGUGGUUAACAAGUCAUCAUAGCUUUGAACUAUUUCUACGAUGUCUUUGGCAGUAGUUGUUUUAAUUUGUUGUUAGGAUUUUGUUUGUACGUUAAAAUUAUUUCAAUAUAUAGCUUUUUAUUUGCAGUCUUCUUGACACUAUAUUACAGAUGAAAUUACAUGAGAUUGAACAACUUUCCUUUUAAAUCACGUAGGAAUGACGAAUGAGUGUUAAAGGAAAGAUAUAUUUGCUUAACCUAUCCACAUUGUUUUUCAAGAUGCUAUCAAGUAUCAAUACCAAACUAUUUUCCCUCCCUGACAUAUCUACUCUUUUGAACUGCACUACUAUUCUAUGGUUGUCAUGAAUAUUGGAUCAGAACAGAAUAUAUUGUUUUAAUAAGUAAAUGCAUUGAAAGAAAAACAUUGGAAAGAAAAAUGGAAACAAGUUUCUCAGUACAAUUGCAUUAAAAUUACACAGUUCAUAUCACGUUGCUCUUUAAAUAUAUUUAGGUAUUUUUUAUAUUCACUGCGAUAUUUUAUAUUUCAAAAUUUAUAAAAUAUAAUAAAAUUUUAUAAUAUUAAAAUUUUCAUAAAAAUCAAACUGCCCACAAAUUUUCCUCCGUUUACAUAUGUUAUAUAUUAAACUAGCUUAUAGCCCGUGCAAGGCACGGGAGCUUUUUAAUUAUUUAUAAACUUUUAAAAUAUAUUGUAAAUGGUGUGAAAGAAUUUAAUUUAUAAAUAAUAAAUUAAAAUUUUCAAAUAAAUAAAAUUUGAAAUUAUUAUUUGUUUUUAAGUCAGAAUUAUUGUAAAAAUAUAUACGUUCUUGUAACAACCUCAAAAUUCCAAGUACGUAAUUAUGCAAUUAUUUAUUUAGUUAUCUAAUUUGUGCGAGUAAGUGAUUUGAUUUAUCAAAUAUACGAGACAGAAUAUCUCAAGAGCGAGAAAUAUGGAUCUGGAUAAAUAAUGUAGUUCGAGAAAUUAUUAAGGUGUUACAUGUUAUAACUGGCUGUUUAAGCAUUAGAUUGAUAAAUGCCGAAAAUAAUUGAUAUUCAGCCUUAUUACGUAGACAUUAAAUUGGUGCGUGUUUUAGAUAAACAGUUAAUUCGUGGAAAUAUCUAUAUAUAUAUAUAUAUAUACAUAAAAUUUUAGUCGGAAUUUAUUUAGUGGAAACCGGAUUAGAUCAAGUAUUUGUUAAUUAACAAUUUAGUUAUUUAAAAUUUUGAUAAAUUAUCAAAUAUUUAAAAAGACCCCAAAAUGAAAUAUGGUGUAAAUAAAAGAUUAAUUUUUGCUACUUGGUGCCCAAGUAACGUCACUUGGUGCCCAAGUCACGUUACUUGGUGCCCAAGUAAGAUUAGGAGAUAAUCCAAGUUGUGAGUGGGUCUUUGUGUAAAAGAAUGUCUAUAAUCAAGAUUUGUAAUGAUUAAUAGAGGUAAUGUGAUAUAAAAUCAAAAACUAGAGUAAAAUCCUCAUUAUUGUCUUAAAGAGUAAGGGAGGAAUUAAGAUUAGAGUGUCUAAAGGAGUAAAAGAAGGAGGAGAAGAAUUAGGACAGCAGCUAAAGUAAUCAAGAAAAUCUGCCAAAUCAAGGUAAACACUCUUUGACUUUACUCAUUUAUGGAGCUACAUUUAUGGUGGUAAAUUGUAACAGUCAAUGUUACUAUAUAAUACUAAUGGUCCCCACUGAUUGAGUAACCCAGUACAUAUUUGAUCAGUGGUAUGAGCUGGGUGCUUGCUCCAAUAUUUAAUACCAUUGUGAUCUACAGUCAUUUUUAUGUUUUAAUAUCUAGUUGUGUAUCAAACAGUGGUUAAUUGGUAGCUUAAAAGGUUUUCCCCAAAAUUUAUAAAUUAGGGUUUAUAAAUUAGGGUUUUAAAAUUUAGGGCUUUUCAUGUUGUGGUGAUUUUGUGUAUUGGUUGGAGGGGUUUGAUUGAGUUGCUGGAAGGAAGUAGGAGAUCGGGGCCAAUCUCGGCGUUGGGGCACCGGAACCGCCGCGUCGAGGUCGUCGGAGACGACUCGGCGGUGGUGGGUGGCCAGAACUGAGGCGAAAGGGGGGGGGAUGGGCGGAUGUUGGCUGGAGAACGACGGCAGGUGUACGAAGCAGCAACGGAGGGCGGAAGUCGCGGCGGAUGGCCGUUGUAGCGAAGCCAGCGUCGACGAAACGACGGACGACGUCGCCGGAGACGUCGACACGCGGCGUUGAUGGAGGCCUGGGGGUCGCGAGAAGAGUAGGUGAGCUGAGAGGGGUGCCGUCGCGCGUAAAUCGAGCCACCGCAGCAGCGGUGGCGAGGUUGGUUCGAUCAGAAAGAGAGAGAGAGAGAGAGAGAGAGAGAGAGAGAGAGAGAGAGAGAAUGAGAGAGAGAGGGAGAGAUGCUGAAAGUGAGACAGAAUGGGGCGGCGUCGAGGCCACCGGAGUCGAACUCCGGCCGGCAGCCGCGGGUAAUGGCAGGAGGAGGGAGAGAGAAGGUGGGUGGGGGGAAAUGGAGAGUUGGGGGAGAUGAGGGUAUAAUGGUAAAAUCAUAAAUGAGUGGGAAAUUGAUUAAUAAAAUAGGGUUGGAAUAAUGGUGGAUAUAAUUUGGGGAAAUAUUAAAAUAAGAUUUAAGGGUGGUUCACAUGAUUGAAGAAUUUGAGGACUAUUAAGGUUAUAAAGUUGAGAAUUAUAUAUAAUCGGAUUUAAAAUCGUAAUAAUGGACUUGGUCGGUUUUAGAAAAUGGGGGAAUAAAUUUAGAAAUAUUAUGGGGUUAGUGCUAUGUGGCACUUAAUUAAAUCAUAGGAGUAUUAUUAUUAUUAUUUUAGUAAUUGUCGACUUGAUAUUUAUCGUUAACCAAUUAGAGAAUCUUUUGAAUCAUAAGAAAGGUAAUUAAAGUAAUAAGCGUAUAGAUUAUUUGGAAGGGUAUGUUUCGUUACCUUUCAUUAAUUUGAAAAAUAGUAAUUUAAAAUAUGGUUAUAAAGGUGUAAAAGAUGAAGAAGAGUAAUAGUUAUACAAAUAUUUAGUGGUAAUUAUUUAAAGAAAAUUACAAAUGAUUAAAUUUUAGUGUUAAGAUCUAAAGGAUAUGCGUAAUAUUUUUAACUAAUCCUAAUAAAGGGAAAAUAUAGAUAUUCGUCCUUUGAGAUUAAUUCCUUCGAAGAAAGGUAUACUAAAUUCACUACUUUAUGUGAUUUAGAAUAUUUUUCUGUCCGGAAAGGCGGAUCUUAUCUGAGACGGAAUAUUAUAGCAAAGGACGACAGGCAAGUUUAUCUAUUCCCUACCUUUGUCAUGCCAAUAUGCAUUAUUUGUUUGUUGGAUAUAAUACAUGAUAUUUGAAAUGCUGCUUGUAAUCCCGAUAAUUUUAUACUCAAGUAUUACUGAAGAUCGAGCAGAAGCAGCUACUUGAAGAUCGGACGUUCACUUCGCGUGUUUAUUAUCUAAUUUUGUUUCAUGAUUUGAGUUUAUCCAUUGUUCGGGUUACUCACCAUCCAAAGAGAUUAUCAAAUUUUCCGACUUUCGAACCCUUAUAUUUUGUAAGCUUGUAGAGAUUAUAUUAUUAUUCCGGCACCUUCAUUGCUACAAGCCCAAGUCGGUUUGCAAAUCUUCACUUUGCUUCCGUCUCAAAAGCCUAAAUCAUUUCUUGGAAUCGUUAUCUUGAAUCAAUUAGUUAUUUCAACUUCUGAUUAUUCACGUCAUUCAAAUAUCUAGACCCUUAACUAGAAUUCAUUCAUUCUAACAAAGAUAUAAUAUUCUUGUAAAAUUUUCGGUUAACAACUAUUCUAUUCUUAUUCCCGAAGCGGUACCAUUGACUUCAAUUCUUGUUGCAUUCUCUAUCUUAUUUAAAUCCUAGAGUCCUAAUCUUAAAGAGAUAUAUGAUCUGUAAAGGGUUUGAUAACCAAGACGGAUCGACCCUCUCGUUCAUUGCUAAUUUGGAUUACAUAGUUUUCGUAAUCUAUAAGACUUUGAUUUUAAAUUAGAAAAGGUGCAUUGUUCGCUCCAGAAAGUGACUUGGAGUUUUGUUGAUAAAAGAGGCAUUUCUUGUACUCAGGGGGAAGAAUCUUACAAACUGGUCAACACGAAUAAUUCUAAUUCGUGGAAGAGAAGCGUUAUUACUGUCUCUGUGUGAGACAACUUAAAGGGUUGAAAAUGAUAACCCUUAUGCUAGCAACACAAUGGGGGAAACUGUGUGGCGCCGUUCGAAGUCGCGAUCAGACUGCGAAGGCGUUACGGGGUGGUAUCUACUUAGUGGCGGUGAUCGAGCCAUGGAGUGGAACCAUCAAGGAUGGAGACCAGUGCUAUUCUUAUUCUUUGAUUUAUCGAGAUCUUUAUGUGAUUAUCAGCAGCUUUCAUCUUGAACCUGCUUAAUUGUUAUAUCUGUUUAAACUCCUCGAUAUACAUAUAUCCGUGAUGUUGCACUUGAAAUGAGAACUUGCUGAGCAAAUCAUUUGGUCAUACUUGCAAUAUUUAUUUCUUUUAACAGUAAAGACAGAGUAUGGCUCGAAUAAGGAGGACAAUCAGGAAGCGUACCACAGCAAGGGAAAGAGCAAGGCGUGAAGUCAAUGCAAGAAGAAGGGUACGAAGACGGACUCUUACAUCAAGGGUGUAUUACUUUAUAAUAAUAUUAGUAGUUGGUACCUUUGGACUUAUUAUUGUAAUCUUAAUCUAAGACCAUGUGUAAGUGUGUAUCGAUCCCUGGACUUGUGGGAAGUGUGAGUUGUAAUAUAAGAUGUUUAUGUUAUGCUAUGUUUAUGUGGCGACCCAAAUUCAGGGGAUACGGGUUUGGGGGCGUUACAGUUCUACUUUUCAGACUUGUUUCUGUAAAAAAAACUGGUCACACAUGUUGGAUCAUCCGACAGUGGCGAUGCAGUAUAAAAUAUACUGUCACAACCAUUAAUGGAUUCAAAUAAACUAUUGUAAUCAAUCCUUUCGUUUUCUCCUAUGUAUCAUGCCAAAGUAUUAAAUUUUUUCUAUCAAAUUUUAAUAUAUAUUGAGUAGAAUAUGUGACAUCAAUUUCUAUUAGAUUAUAUAUAUAAAAGUAUUUUAUAUUAGAAUUAUUAUAAUUUGAUUUAAAUUUGGCUUACCAAUUUUAAAAUAUAUUAGAUAAAAAUAAAUUUGUGACGGAGCGAUUUAUAUGAUUCUACAAUUAAAACUGGUAGGAAAUAUUUAUUUUGGAUUAAAAUAUCCGACUUAAUAAAUUUUAAAAUAUAUUAGAUAAAAAUAAUUUUGUGACGUGCGAUUUAUAUGAUUAUACAAUUAAAACCGGUAGGAAAUAUUUAUUUUGAAUUAAAAAAAUCAUAAACAUGUGAAAGACAGAAUUUGUUUUGGAUUCUGAAAAGAAAUUAUAAACAUGCAGGUAGAUAUCAGUUGCCUUAUAGAAUUAGAAGUUAAUAUUGUUUAAAUCUAACGGUGCUUAUUUGUUCAAUAUACGAUCCAACGGAUGAUAAAGUUUUGGACCAUGUGACCAUGCCACCAAAUUAUCUCCCUUACGCUUAUUAUAUAUAAGUAUAUAAUAUGAAUCAAUUUUAGUAUUAUCUUCAACUUUCUUUUUGUUGGAGGAAUUACUCCCUCCGUCCCUUUUUAUCUGUCCAUUUUGGAAAAAAAAACACAUACCAAAGAAUAAUUGAUUGUAUAAACUUUUUCAUUAAAUACCUCUAAUUAAUAUCUUGAAAAUGGUGAAAUACCCCUACUUUAUGUCUUGAAAACAUGAAUUCAACCAAGUUUUAAAUAAGUCAAGCCUUGAAAAUUGAAAUUAUGGAGAUAUAUUUGAAAAACUAUCAUUAAAUUAGUUUUGAAAGUAUAAAUGGACAGAUAAAUAGGGACAAAUUUUUACUUCCAAAGUGGACAAAUAAAUAGGGACGGAGGGAGUAAUAGUUUUCUUUGUAUUUCACAUGAAUCUCAAAGAGAAUCCAAAUCUGUAUUCGUCUCCUCGAGAGUUGAAGUCGCCGCCGAAUGUCCUAUAGCAGAAUCCAAAUACAUAUUCUUCAGGAAUAUGUAUGAGAUAUUCGGGUUUUAAUAAACCCGAACCCGAAUUCUAUGGAAUCGGGUCUGGAUUUUGAUUUUGAAAUCCAAGGGUUUGGAUCGGGUAAAAUAUUCGAAUUUGUAUUUGGAUAUCUAAGAGAUCCAACCCGUUGCAUCCCUAAUUUACAAAUUUAUUCCACCGGAGGAGAAGGAUUCAGAUCAACGGAGUCUCAUCUUCUUGAGUAAUAAUGGAAAACAAAUCAAUCAAACUCGCGCAUUAUAAACCUUUUGGUAGCCAAGUUAUGUCUCAUAAUUGGACUGACAUCUGCAAGGCAAGGUAAUAAAUCGAGUAUUAAACUCUUUGAAUUCAUGUUUCUUAAUUUCAUGAUUAUGUUACAAUUUGAUCGUGAAAGAGUUGGAUUUGUGAUAAGUAAUGAAUGUUGAUUUGCAAUAACCAACUAUAAGUUUAGAAUGUCUUAAAGAUUUUUCCAUUCAUUCUCAGGCUUAUUCUAUUCUGCAGGGCUGCUACUAAAUUGUAUUCAAAACUGAACUUUGCUACAAGACAGAGAUGGGUGCAAUUACAAUAAAUCACAGAUACGCGUUAAUAUUAUAUUUCUUAUUGCCUUAAAUAGAUAUCCUGCUAGUGCAUCACGCCAGCAAAGUUUAGCAACUCUGUAAAUUAUAAGGGUGUUUAUAGAAAAUGUCUAUAACUUUCAUUGCUUCAAUCAUUCUUUGCAUUCAUUUUAAUGGCAUCUUUUGUGACGGUUAUUUUAUCAACAUAUUCCAAAUCAAGCUUAACUCAACCUGUGAGUGUCUUUAGCUCACGGCUUAUUGCCUUAUUCUAUUCUGCAGGGCUACUAUUAAAGUGUAUUUAAAACUGAAAUUCGCUACAAGACAGAGAUGCGUCCCAUUUCUUAUUGCCUUGAAUAGAUAUUCCAUCACACUAGCAGAGUUUAACAGCUGUGUAAACUACAGUUUAGUAUGAUGUCUUGGAAUCAGAUUUAAUAUCACCAGUUGGUUUAAUAACCCUCGUUGAAUUAAGCUAGCCAAACAAUAUUACUGGUUGGUGUCAAAACGGCCGGUUUCGUUCCUAAAUCGAAGCAGACGUUUUUUUUUAUAAAAAUCCGUCAAAUCUGUCCUAACCAGUCAACAUCAUGUCUAUAAACUAAUAAUAAUAAUAAUUUUAUAAAAAAACUUAAUAAUUAGGGAAUACUACAUUGCCACUUUCAACUAAAGUUAUAACUUUAAAAAAAUUGAAAUAACUAAUAUUAUGUAUUUUCUUUUUACACUGUGGAUAAAAGAUGUGUUGGUAUAUAUUUUUUUAAUCACUGUCCACUGAUCUUAUAUUAUAUUUAUCAAGUAUUAAUUUAAUGUAUGAUAUUAUAUUGUUUACUAGUCAAAUAUUCUCGUAGAAAUGAAUAUAUUAUUAAAUUAUGUAUAAUUAUGAUAAUUUGAAAUUACUUUAUAUCGGAUUAAUGUUCCGAUUAAUUUUUUCGACUAAUCUAUAAUUUUCUAAUUAAUCGCUAAAAGAUACCCCAUCCGUCCUAAAACGUCAAACGAUUUUCAGAGCACUGAUACGGAUAUUGUUUCUAGUUGUUUUAAUUUAUUUGCAAGUGCUGUAUUUUUUGUUCUUGUUUGGUUGUUGGCCAUAUUUUCUUAAUUAUAAUUUUUUGUUUUGUUCAGUUUUAGUUUAGUUGCAAGUGGUAAUUAUUUGCAGUGGAGACUUAUCUACGUAAACCUCCUACUGGGAAACAAGUUGGAUCAAAACACCAAACCCAUUGCUAGAUUUAUCCCUCACACAAAAUGAGUUCAACAAUUGAGCACUUUAGCCAUCCGGAGCACGAACUAACCUUGAAGGAGAAUGAUGUUUUUGAAGACACUGCUACAUGCUAUGUCUGCAACAGAACAGUCAUCGGCUCUCCUACGUAUACCUGUACUAAUCGUCGUGCUGACGAUGAUGAUAAUGAUAUUCGCUGUAAAAAAUUUUACCUGCACCAGACUUGUGCAGAAUUACCCCCACAUCUUUUCCAACACGAUAUGCACAACCAACACCUCCUUAGUCUGGAACUACGCUCUCAUGGAUACUAUUGUGACCGUUGUGAGCUUCAAGUAAAGUUCGCUUAUGUGUGUGAUCCUUGUAAUUAUGGUUUAUGUGUUGCUUGUACUUUUCCUUGUCCUCCUGAUGAUGAGCAGAGAGAGCUUCAUCAUGAGGGUCACCAGGAGCACACACUAGUACUAUUGCAGAGGCAGGCUUUGUUUAAAUGUGAUGCUUGUUGGGUGGAGGCUAAAGACAUUUCUUACAUAUGCAAAACUUGUGAGUUUUGGAUCCAUAAAAAGUGUGCUCUUUCUCCGUCCAUUAUUGCAGAGCCUGCCAAUCACCAUCACCCUCUCCAUCUUAUCUUCUCUAUUCCAGAUGAACAUCGCUAUUUCAGCCGAUGGUGCAACAUCUGCAGUGACUAUGUUCCUGUGGAUUCCUGGAUGUAUUAUUGUCACCAAUGCACAUAUUUCGUGCAUAUGAAAUGUGCUACAGCCCCUGCAUUGUAAGUACCCCUACUCACAUGCUGAUUUGCUUCCAGUUUGCCUUGUCUUCAAUAUAUCAUGUCUUGACUAAUUACAAUUUAUUGUUUACAGGAAUGAGACUGAAGCCGCUGGCAGUGACAACCACCCAGAUUUGAUAGAAUUUCCUCUGCAUAGCUUGGAAGCACUAAGCGAUUUCAUGACACCCCGGUUUUCAAAAUUCCAAGUUGACUUUGAACGUGAGCAUAAAGAUGCUACAGCAACUGGACCUAAUGAUCAACAUAGAAUCGAAGAGCAUUGGAGUCACCCGGAUCAUCCAUUAGAACUGUUUCAGUUUACUACUAAUGAGCAUGAUGACGACGACGAAGAAGAUGAUGACAACAACACAACAGGAUUGAUCUGUGAUGGGUGCAUUCAGCCCAUCACGGUUACCCAUCCAUCUUACUACGGUUGUACCCAGUGUAAGUUCCUUCUCCACUCUGUGUGUGCCACUAAACUGCCAAUAGUGUUGCCUAUAGGAUCAUCCUCGUCUCAUCCGCAGCAUUCGCUCGCCCUUACGAUGAAAACUAGAUUCUACGCAGCAUUGGACUGCGGAGUUUGUGGCUGCGCGACAAAUGGAUUUUACUAUAUUUGUCAGGCUUGUGAUAUGAAAAUAGAUAUUUGCUGUGCAUUUUUGCCCUCAAGGAUAAAAUAUAAGUCUCACAACCACCACCCCCUUAUUCUGCGUCCAUUACUGGGUCGCGGUUGCAGUGUUAGUAGGACCUUAAUUAUUGGUGGCAUGGAAUAUGGAUGUGAAAUUUGUAGCAACUUCCUGAUCAGUGUAUCAUGUGUAUUUUACCCGAGUACGAUGAAACACAAAUACGAUGAUCAUUCCAUAACCUUGAGAUAUCCUCCUUUCUUCUACCAAGGUGUAUUCUACUGUGAGCUAUGUGAAGGAGUAAACAAUCAGUGGUGGCUCUAUCAUUGUGAUGAAUCUGAUCAUUCUUUUCACUCUCGUUGCCUCUGUAAGCCGCACAGGGUAAAGUUAGGAGGGACCAUAAUUCUUGAUAAUAACGAAGAAAAACACACCUUUGUAUGUGUUUACAAACUGAACGUAAGAAAGAACUCCCCCUUAUACAUAUGUGUUGUUUGCCGUCUUGGAUACAGUGGUGGUUUAUACUUGGAAUGUGAGGGCUGUGGAGUUCUUAUCUGCCCUGAAUGUAUGACCAAGAUAGAGGGUUAGUAACAAGUCAAUGCAGUUGUGUGCUAUUUCUACAUUUUCUGUCGAUUGUUUUAUUUGUCUGCUUUAAAUUCUGUAUCAUUAAUACUAUUCAACAAAUCAGUGUUUCAUUCGUGUUCUUUGAUUCGAUCAGACGAAAACGCCGGAACAAAAUCAAAUCUCCAGGAGAAUCAUGACCAGUUAUGAAUUGAAACCAUUAUAAUGGCUCAAACUACCCGUGCUAACGCUCUUUCUAAGUGAUGAUGGCCCAUUAGUCAAUCUUACACCAAACGACGUGAGUUGUGUCCGGUGUCAGAAAUUAAGGGGACUGUGUCCGUUGUCAGAAAUUAAGGGGACGGUUUCACUAAUCUUAUUUUUCAGAAAUAAGGAUUACCUCUGCAAAAAAGCAUAUGAAAAUAUAUAUUUUUUGAAAUAAAUCUUUGUUUUUUUGUCAGAUAACAAAUAUAAAACACAUCUCUCACAUUUAUAUUUAAAAAAAUUAUAAAAAUAUAUAUUUGUUUUAAAAGUAAGGUAACCGUAGUCAAACAGACAAUAAAUCUUAGAGAGUAGUCAUUGAAAAAAAAAUUGGCCUGAUCGUUUUAAAUCUUACGCUUCACCGGACCACUAUAUUGACUGGAAGUCCGGUUGAAUGAUGUUUUAAAUAUUAAAGAGCUGUAUUAUCAUUACAUGUCAUUUUUAUAUUUGGCUUUUAACGGUAGAAACUGAUUGAAAAUUUUAAAUACUUUAGUAAUUUAACUGCAAGAUUUUCAUGUUCGAUAAUCUUGUGAGUUAGACAGAGACUUAAGUUGAGUGAUCAUUUGGCCAUUUAAUCAUGAAAGAGAAAGAGGGACAGGGAAGGAGAGAGAUAUAAAAUUUAAUCAUGAAAGAGAAAGAGGGACAGGGAAGGAGAGAGAUAUAAAAUUUAAUCAUGAAAGAGAAAGAGGGACAGGGAAGGAGAGAGAUAUAAAAUUUAAUCAUGAAAGAGAAAGAGGGACAGGGAAGGAGAGAGAUAUAAAAUAUGAUCAAGAUUACUCACUUAUGAUUGUCCCACAUUUCUCGACUCCUUGUGAUUGUAAUGUUUAUACGAUUAUCAUGAAGUUACAUUGUACAGGCAGCGAGCGUGAGAAAAAAGAUCAGCCGAGAAAGACCUUCAUGCGUUUAAUUUUCCUCAUGCUCUGGGUCCUGAUGACCCGAGAAGCCCUGCACUCCAGUCUCAAGUGACUGAUCAUUUUGCAAGUGAAAAUUAGUAGAUCCCUUCGAAUCUGUUGUAUUGAAUCUAAUAGAUUAAUCGGCAUUGAACUAAUUUCUCCCUUCUGAGCAUGUCCAUUGUGUAAUCUUGCCCUAGCUUUUACCUCCAUCCCAAAUUAGAUGUCCCUGUUGACUUUGGGCACGUAACUUUAGGUGCAUUGACCGUCUACUUCCGAAAUUUAUUUUUUUAUUUUUUCUUUUAUAAUUGAAAAUUUCAUAUUUUAAUUUUUAUUUACAAAAAUAUAAUUUUAAAAAUAAGUCAUGUAUCUAUGCGGUCAAUGAACCUUAAAUUGUGUGCCCAAAGUCAACAGGGCCAUCUAAUUUGGGAUGGAAGGAGUAUCUCUUAUUGUGUGUUGUUUGAAAUCGAUCAAAUUAAUAGGAGAUGGUAGAUCUUUUGUGUGGAUAUGAGAACUUAAAAUAAAAAAAUUAUUUAAAUUUAAAAUAAGUUUAGAAAAAACCUUAUUUUUAGAUAUUUUAUUAUUUAUUAUGAAUUUUAUUUAUAAAAAAUAUAUAAAUUAUUAAACUUAAAACUCAUUUAAAUUUCAUAUUAAUUUAUCAUAAAAACAAUUAUCACUUUUAGAUCUACAAAAACUCAACCACAUUACAUACUUGUACUCUUUAUUAAUAAGAGUAAACCCAUUCGUUGACUUGGAAUCAAAUUUUAUAUCACCAGUUGGUUUAACAACCCUCGUUGAACUAAGCCAGCCCUACUAAUACAGGUUGUAAUUGUUGUAUUUAAUUCGCAAGUGCUAUAUUUUUUAUUCUUGUUUGGGUUGUUAGCCAUAUGGCUCAUAUCUAAUUAUAAAAUUUUGUCUUGUUUAGUUUUUUUUUUUUGACAAAUAUGACUUAUAGCCUUACAAAUGAGUAUCUGUUCUAAGAUAUUCUCGAGGUGAGUCAGGGUCGAACCCAGGACCUGGGACGACAGAGGAUAAGCUCUUAACCACUGAGCUAUCCAACCGUGCUCUGUCUUGUUUAGUUUUAGUUUAGUUGCAAUUGGUAAUUAUUUGAAGUGGAGAGUAAUCUACUUGAACCUGCUAGUGGGAAACAAGUUGGAUCAAAACACCAAACCCAUUGCUAGAUCUAUCCCUCAUCACCUGAAAUGAGUUCAACAAUUGAGCAUUUCAGCCAUCCGGAGCACAAACUAAUCUUAAAGGAGAAUGAUAUUAUUGAAGACACUGCUACAUGCUACAUCUGCAGCAGAACAGUCAUCGGCUUUCCUACGUAUACCUGUACUAGUCGUCAUGCUGAUGCUGAUGAUAUUGGCUGUAAAGAGUUUUACCUGCACCAGACUUGUGCAGAAUUACCCCCAGAUAUUUAUCACGAUAAGCACAACCAACACGCCCUUACCCUCAGACUAAGCCCUGCUGAAUGUAUUUGUGAUGUUUGUGAGGAUGAAGCAAAGUUCACUUAUGUAUGUCAAAAUUGUCUCUUUGAUCUGUGUGUUGCUUGUGCUUUUCCUGGUCCUUCUGUCGAAGAACAGAAAGAGCUUCUUCAUCAAGGUCACGAGGAGCACACACUAGUAUUGCAGAGGCAAGCUUUGUUUAAAUGUGAUGCUUGUUGGGUGGAGGCUAAAGACUAUUCAUAUGUAUGCAAAACAUGUGAUUUUUGGAUCCACAAGAAGUGUGCUCUCUCUCCGCCCGUUAUUGCGGAGCCUGCUUAUCAUCAUCACCCUGUCACUCUUAUCUUCUCUAUUCCAGAUGAACAUCGCUAUUUCCUCCGAUACUGCAACAUCUGCGGUCACUAUGUUCCUGUCAACUCCUGGAUCUAUUAUUGUCACAAAUGCACAUAUUUCGUGCAUAUGAAAUGUGCUACAUCCACUGUAUCUGCGUUGUAAGUACUCCUAGUGAAAUAUUAAUUUGUUUGCUAUUGAGGUCGUUCAUGUUCAAGUUUGUCCUGUCUUCAAUAUCAUCAUGUCUUAACUAGGUACAAUUUGUUGUUUUCAGAAAUGAGACUGAAGCCGCUAGCAGUGACAAUGAUCCAGAUUUGAUAGAAUUUCCUCUGCAUAGCGAGGAAGCACUGUUUGAUCUCAUCACAACACAGUGUUCAAAGUUCCGAGUUGACUUUGAAGGCGAAGAUAAAGAUGCUACCAUGAUAUCAACAGAGCCUAAUGAUCCACAUAUAAUUGAACAGCACUGGAGUCACCCGUAUCAUCCAUUACAACUUAAAUCUAUCAUCAGCGAGAAUGAUAACAACAACAACAAUGAUGAUGAUGACGAUGACGAUGCAAGAGUGUUGAUAUGUGACGGGUGCAUUCAGCCCAUAACUGUUACGCAUCCAUCAUACUAUGCUUGCCUCCAAUGUGGUUUCUUUCUCCACUCUGUAUGUGCUACUAGAUUGCCAAAAGAGUUGCCUACAGGAGUAUCGUCAUUUCAUCCCCUGCAUUCGCUUACCCUUGCUAAGAGACCUAAAUUUUAUGAAGGAGUGCAAUGUGGAUUUUGCGGCUGUGAUACGAAUGGAUUCUUCUAUGAAUGUGAGGAUUGUGAUAUCAAAAUCGAUUUAUGUUGUGCAUUUUUGCCCGCCAGGAUAAAAUAUAAAUCUCACAAGCACCACCCCCUGGUUCUGCGUCCAUUGUCCAGUUACGUUUGUAGCGUUAGUAGAUUCGUCAUUUCUAUGGGCAUGGAAUAUGGGUGUGAAAUUUGUAGCAACUUCCGGGUCGGCAUAUUUUCUGUUUCGUUUCCAAGUACGAUGAAACACAAAUAUGAUGAUCAUCCUGUAACGUUGAGAUAUCCUCCAUUCUUCUAUGAAGGUGUAUUCUACUGUGAACUAUGUGAAGAACAAGUAAACAAUCAGGGCUGGCUCUAUCAUCGUGGUCACUCUGAUCAUUCUUUUCACUCUGAUUGCCUCCUUUUCUGGCAUAGGAUGAAGUUAGGGGGGACCAUCAGACUUGAUAUUAACGAUGAAACACACACACUUGCAUAUGCUUUAAAAAGGAAUGUAAGAAAAAACUCUCCCUUAUACAUUUGUGGCAAUUGCGGUGAUGGAUACGCUUAUGGUCUCUUCUUCGAAUGUGAUGGCUGUGGAUUUCUUAUCUGCAUUGAAUGUGUCAGGAAGAUGGAUGGUGAUUAACAAGUCAAAGCAGUUCUGAUAUACUUCCACACUCUCUCUGGCAAUUGUUUUAUUUCAGCUAUAAAAUGUUUACACAAUAUUAUUUCAACACAUCAGUGUUUUAUUUGUGUUGUUUUAUAUUUCUUAGUGAAUUUGCUACUUAUAUCUAAUUGUCACCUACUGGUAGAAGAUCAGAAAGUGGGCAAGUUUAUUGUUGUCUUCUUAGGCCAUCUCCAACAGUGGAAUUAGUUUUUGAUCUAAAUCUUGGUCCAAAUUUAGACCGAAUCAUCUUUCCAUUCCAACAGUUUGGACUAAAUUUUGGUCCAAAUUCAUAUAUCAAUAUUUUAUUCUUCUAACAGUUUUUAUAUUAUUAUUCUAAUCUUUUUAACAAUAAUGUAAGAUUUCAUAUUAAUAUUAAACUCAAUAAAUUCAUUAAAUUAGAAAAACACUACAUUUAAACAAAGAAAAUAAAGGAAAAUUUAACAUUUUAUUAAAUUAACUAAAAUAAAAUUUACAAAGAUUGAAUACUACUCCGAAUUAUUAUAUUGUUCCCACAAAUACUAAAUUAAUGCAUCUCGAUCGUCCAAGAAAUUAUUGAAAUCGAGCAUUUUAAUGUGUUGUUAGUUUGAAUUAUAUUAAGAUUAUUUAAUUUUAUUAUAUUUCAUAAUUAAUAUAUAUGAUUAUUUAAGUAAAAUAUAUUAAAUAUAAUUUAUAAAUGUUUAAUAAUUAUAUUAACAUAAAAUCAUUUAAUUAACUAAAUAUACAAAAAACAAAAAGUUAUUAUUAUAUUAUUAAAAAGAUUUAGGCCGGUGAAUAGUGCCGGCCUAAAUUUAGGCCGGUACUGUUCACCGGCCUAAAUUUGGACCAUGAUUUAGGCCACUGUUGGGUAGAUAUAGACCGAAACCCUUCCAAAUUUGGAUCUUUAGGCCACUAUUGGAUUUGCCCUUAAGAUACAUAUACAUGGAUGAUGGAUCACAAUUAUUAAGUGAGUUUUUACUGGGAUCAUUCUAUUUUAAGUCUUAACACCCAAUCUCACUCGAAUUCUAAGUUCUCUACUAAUCCGAGCAUAAUGUGUUAAGUAAUCUACUCCCUCCGUUUUGAGAGACAUGUUGUUUGACUUUUUUGCACGUAUUUCCAAGUCCAUUGACCGCAUGCUAAAAAUCAUUAUUUUCAAAAAAAAAAUUCUGAAAUAAAAAUAUAUGAUUUAUAUUUUUAUUUUAAAAAAAAAUCAAAAAUAAUUAUUUUUAGCAUGCGGUCAUUGAACUUAGAGAUGUGUGUAAAAAAGUCAAACGACUUAUAUUUCGAAAUGGAAAGAGUAUUAACUAUAUUAAAUUUAGGGGCCGUUCGGUUUGAGCCAGGGAAACGGAAUGGAUUACACAAAAGGAAACGAGGAGAAAGGAAAGGAAUUAUAUUGAAUUGUAUUACCUGUUUGGUUUUGAUACAGACGCGGAAUGGAAAAUUAUAUAAUUAUUCAAUAUCUGAUUUUUAAAUAUUACAUUAUUUCAAAAAAAAAGUCAGUGAUAUAUAUAUAUGUGUGUGUGUGUGUGUGUAUGUUUAUAAUAAUAUUUUUUUUAUUUUUAUAAAUUAAUAUAUAUAUAUAUAUAUUAUUUAAGAAUUAUUAUUUUUGUGAAUAGCUUGACUUAUAAAUUAUAUCAAAUUUAUUUUUAAUUUAUAAAAACAAAAUUAUAAAUUAUUUUAUUAUUUUCAUAAAGUAUUUACCAAUCACUUUUUUUUUGACGAAAUUUACCAAUCACUUUUGUUUUAAUGAUUUCUAAAAUAGAUUAUAAAUGAAAAUGAAAAAAAAGACAAAGAAAGGGAAAGCAAAUACCAGGAAGGGGGUGGGGAAUGACUUAUGAGGAAAGAUGGAUAAACCUAAAAUUAAAAAGAAGGAAAGAGAAUCACAAUUUUUAUCAAACAAACACCAACAAAAGAAAUGGGUUAAUAGGCAAAAAGAUAACUGAACUCAUGACAAACUUGCAGUUGGGUCAUUGAACUCAAAAAGUUUGCAAACGGGUCACAGAACUAAAUUUAAUUUGCAGUCAACUCACUGAACUAAUAAAAGCUUGCAUUUAGGUCACUGCGCCGUUAAGUAUUGGUUGACUUUAACGGAAUCCGUUAAAAAAUUGGAAAAAAAAACUCUUGAAAAAUAUAAAAAAAUAAAUUUUCUUAAAAAUUUUGAAAACUUAAAAAAAAUCUGAAAAUUUUGAAAAAAACUUUAAAAAUAUGGAAUUUUUUUUUAAAAAUGUAAAAAGUUCGAAAAUCUUGAAAAUUUAGAAAAAAUUCUGAAUUUUUUUAAUUUCAAAAGUUUAGGUGUAUUUUUUGAAUUUGCAUAUUUUUUUGAUUUUAAUUUUUUUUUUAAAUUUUUAGGUAUUUUUGGAAGAUUUUACAUUUUUUAAAAAAAAAUUCCAAAUUAAUUUUUUAAGAAAAUUAAUUUAGUUUAUAUUUUAAGAAAAGAAGAUUUUUUUUAAGUUUUCAAAAUUUUUAAGAAAAUUAAUUUUUUUAUAUUUUUCCAGAGUUUUUUUUUCAAUUUUUUAACGGAUUCCGUUAAAGUCAACCAAUACUUAACGGCGCAGUGACCUAAAUGCAAGUUUUUAUUAGUUCAGUGAGUUGACUGCAAAUUAAAUUUAGUUCUGUGACCCGUUUGCAAACUUUUUGAGUUCAAUGACCCAACUGCAAGUUGGCCAUGAGUUCAGUUACCUUUUUGCCUAUUAACCCCAAAAGAAAUCAUUAACAUGGUUUCCUUUCCCUUUAUUAAUUAACAUGCCAACCAGCUCCUCAACAUUGAUUGGGCUUAAGCACCACAUCGCUCUCUAUUUUAGACGGCUCAGCGGUGCGACCAGACCAAUAUGGGUAGGAUGAUUAGACUGGAAGCUUAGAAUCAGUUUGUGAUUGUUACUUCGAUUUCUGGAGGACAAGAACAGGGGGGACAAGAUCAUUAAAACGGAAGGUUUUGUGAUCCAACUAUCCUGCCCGGGAAAUCAUUUUGCACCAACUCUCACACUCUAAAUAAUCAUUUCUCUGGUGCGUUAAAUUAAAUUAUCCAAGUGCUAUAUUCGUUGACUUCGAAUGCAUCACAUACCAGAUCUUGUUGGAGCCAGCCAGCCUGAAGGAACUAGCCUCUGGAUUAUAUAGUGGGUGUUUGGCAAACCCAACUUCUGGCUUAUCUAUAAAAAAGUGGCUUCAGCUUUUUUCGUACUGUUUGAUUAGCUGAAAUAAGUACUUAAAAUAGUGCUUAAGAAGCCAAGAAAAAAAACUAGGAAACCUAGCUUUUUUUUUUGAUUUGGAGCUUCUUUGUAACUUAUAAGUCACGAGUAUCCAAACACUUAUAAUAACUUAUAAGUUUAAGCCAACUUUUAACUUAUAAUUCACUUCUUUACUUUUAAGCAAUAAGUCACUUCUUUCAAGUCCAGCCAAACGGUCUAUUGUUCUGCUUAAACCUGCAAAGGCAAAAACCAGACUCAUUUUUACAUCCAUCCCUUACCAGGUCUCAUUCAAACGAAAAUAUGCUACAAGACACUAGACACUAGACAGACAGAUGGAUGCAAUUACAGUAAUUACUAAUUACAUGUACGCGUUAAAUUCUAGGAGUAAUUGAUAGAUGUGUCCACGUGAUUCUUAGGAAUUAUUAUUUCUUUUUUUUUUUUUGCUAAAUUAUUUUUUUUUUGUUGAAUAAAUAUUCAGCGUUCAGGAUUAUAACAAUUUUUCUUAAUGUGUUUAAAAAAAUUUAAUCAUUAGAUGGGUACUCAAUCAAUGCUUUUUAAUCCUUUUGACGGAUAAAAUACUCAUUUCAGUCAUUUAGCUAAAAACUGAUAGAAAUGAUAAAUAAUCAUUUUAUUCGUCCGGUCUUUGUUCUAAAAGUUGGUGAUUAAUCACCGAUUAAUUCUUAUUCAUUAAAUCGUUGAACUGAUUAAAUCUCUCAUCAAUCAUCGAGCAAUCCGAUUAACCCCAUCAAUUCAAUUAAUCUUCUAUUAAUCCUUGUUUCAUGACUUCAUCGAUUAAGUCUGAUUCAAAAGUUUUACAACACUACUCAAACGGUUAAAAAACAUUAAACAUAUUAAAUAUUAUAAUUUUAUUAUCGAACAAUAAAAAAACCAUCUAAAAGAUUUCCAACAAUCACGCAGUGACAUCCGGAAAACAUACCCUGCUAGCGCAUCAAAGUAGCAGAGAGUUUCAACAUGGGAGGAUAUGAACAGGACAAGAUUGAAUAUAAAAAUUUGCGGUCGAUGUCCUGGAAUCAAAUUUUAUAUCACCAGCUGGUUUAACAACCCUCGUUGAACUCAGCCAGCCAAGCAGUACCCAUGAGUGUCUUAAAAAUCUCUCGUAACGCUACUUGGUGUCAAAACAUCCUGAUUCUGAUUCGGUCCUAUAUGAUGAAUUAAUUUUUCUUUUCAUAAAAAUAGGUCAAAAAAGACCUUUUAGGUGAGCUGACAAUUGACAUACCAAAAAUAAAAAAUUUAGCCAAUCACUUCAAAAGUUCACACUCCAACCAUAGUGACCUGUUAUCUAUAAAUAUAGUAAACCUCCUAUGACUAAAUUUGUCGAACGUCUACUGUAAAAAAUCUGUAGGGUGAUUACACAUCAUUUAUUACCAUAUUAAACUGAUAUAUUCUAUUUAUAAUAAUCUAAAUAUUAAUAACAUGCUAUUUUCAAAUUAUAACCAACCAAUAUAGCCAAUACCAUCGAAGCACAAUGUUUUACAAAUUCAGCAAAUUUUACAUAAUGCGCGUCCAAUUUAGCCAACGAUUAUAGCCAACCCCAUUGAAGAUGCUCUAACCGUCAAUAUCACAUCUAGGUGGCUAAUAAUAAUUAUAAAAUAUUAAACAAUCACUUUUAUCUAAAUUAAUAGUCAUAAUAAGAUUAUUUAUUUUUUUGUAAGGAUAGUCAUAAAAAGAUUAAAAUUAAUAGCUUUAUAUAUUUUUUCUUUACGCUAUGUGCAAGAGAUCUUCACAACUCUAGAUGAGCGAGAAGGAGGGAGUAAUGGUUUAGUAUUUUCGACAUGGGAGGAUAUAAACAAGAGGGGACAAGAUUGAAUAUUAAAAUUUGUAGUCCAAGGAUACUCUGCUAGUGCUCUAUUCGAUGUCUUGGAAUCAAAUUUUAUAUCACCAGUUGGUUUCACAAUCCUCGUUCAACUGAGCCGGCCAAGUAUGACUAAAGUACUAGAGUGAUACAGUUUCCAAUUGGUGCACCAUUUUUUAUUCUUGUUUUGCUUGUUGGCCAUAUAAUUACAAACUUUUGCUUUAGUUUAGUUGCAAGUGGUAAUUAUUUGAAGUGGAGAGUAAUCAUCUGCUUAAACCUGCUAGUGGAAAACAAGUUGGAUUCAAACACCAAACCCAUUGCCAGAUCUAUCUAGAAAUGAGUUCAAGAAUUAAGCAUUUUAGCCAUGCUGAGCAUGAAUUAAUCUUGAAGGAGAAUGAUGUUAUUGAAGACACUGCUACUUGCUUUGCCUGCCACAAAACAGUCAUCGGCUUUCCUACGUAUACCUGUACCCAAUCUGCUGAUGAUGAUAUUGGCUGUAAAGAGUUUUACCUGCACCAGACUUGUGCAGAAUUACCCCUACGUAUUUUCCCUCACGAUAUGCACAACCGACACCCCAUUACUCUCGCAAUAUACACUGGUAAAUACUAUUGUGAUGCUUGUCAUCUUCAAAUAAGGCUCGGUUAUGGGUGUGAUCCUUGUGACUUUGGUUUAUGUGGAACCCUGAACCCUGAACCCUGAACUGCUCUUCCUGGUCCUCCUGAUGAUGAUGAACAAAAAGAGCUUCAUCAUCAAGGUCACGAGGAGCACACACUAGUAUUGCAGAGGCAAGCUUUGUUUAAAUGUGAUGCUUGUUGGGAGGAGGCUAAAGACUUUUCUUAUGUAUGCAAAACAUGUGAUUUUUGGAUCCACAAGAAGUGUGCUCUCUCUCCCCCCAUUAUUGCAGAGCCUGCUUAUCAUCAUCACCCUGUCACUCUUAUCUUCUCUCCCCAUUAUUGCAGAGCCUGCUUAUCAUCAUCACCCUGUCACUCUUAUCUUCUCUAUUCCAGAUGAACAUCGCUAUUUCGUCCGAUUCUGCAACAUCUGCGAUGAAUAUGUUCCUGUGGAUUCGUGGAUGUAUUAUUGUCACCAAUGCACAUAUUUCGUGCAUAUGAAAUGUGCUACAGCCCCUGCUUUGUAAGUACCCCUACUCACAUGUUUUGUUUGCUGUUCAGUUCAUUCGUGUUCAAGUUGUCCUGUCUUCAAUAUCAUGUCUUGACUAAUUACAAUUUAUUGUUUACAGAAAUGAGACUGAAGCCACUGGCAGUGACAACGACCCAGAUUUGAUAGAAUUUCCUCUGCAGAGCUUGGAAGCACUAAGUGAUUUCAUGAUAACCCAGUUUUCAAAAUUCCAAGUUGAAUUUGAAGGUGAGCAUAAAGAUACUGCCAUGACAUCAACCGGACCUAAUGACCCACAUAUAAUUGAAGAGCAUUGGAGUCACCCGGAUCAUCCAUUACAACUGUUUGAGUUUAUUAUUAAUGAGCAUGAUAACGACGACGAAGAAGAUGACAACAACACAACAGGAUUGAUAUGUGAUGGGUGCAUUCAACCCAUCACGG